CCUGGUGGACAUAACUGAAACUGUGGAAAGCAAAACCAUGGAUAAGGCAAGCAUCCUAUAUACCCCACCUGCCAUCUACUACUCCCUCUACACAUAUACAUCUCCUAAACAGCAGUUUAGGAACAUUUGCUGCUACUUGAGCAUGCUUCCUAGAAGUCUCAAAGUCUACCUUCCGAAGAAGAUCCCUGUAGAAGAAGGAUUCAAGACCAUUCAAGACCAAUUCUACAUAAAUAAACUCCAGGAGGAUGGAGAUGAUGUCUUUCCUAUUCAAGUAUUUGGAGGAGUCAAGAUGGCGGAGAAGUAGCAAGCUGAGACUACUUCAGCUAGCCGGAGAUCAGCUAGAUAGCUUAUCUAAAGAUUGCAAACACCUGAAAAUCCAUCGGC
rnacentral:lncRNA from 1 species